GUUAUAACUUUAUACAGGAAACUUACAUACAGUCUCCUUAAACUUUUGGGAAUCAAUCGAUUACGUAAAGUGAAAUAUCGAUCCAUACUCGAUGCAUUGAUGUUUUACGUUGCAUUAGUGAAAUGCUAAAGAAUGACAGUCCUACAUCAGCACAACUUGGCAUCGUAAGAACAUCAAUCUUCAAAGCUGUUGAACACGGGCAUGUUGAGUUUGUCACUCAUAUAUGUGAAGCAUAUCCUCCAUUUGCAAAAUCAAGAGAAGAAAACAAACACAUAUUUCACUUUGCGGUUGAAUUUCGUCAACAUAAAAUUUAUAGCCUUAUUCAUAGACUUGAUAGAGAGGACCAGAGAUACUUUGGAACACGUGUAACCAAGUAUCCAGAGAAUAUGUUACAUUUAGCAGGGAAAUUAUCUCCACUCUCAAGGUUCAAUCGUAUUCGCGGUGCAGCUUUGCAAAUGCAACGAGAGCUACAGUGGUUUAAGGAGGUGGAGGAUAUUGUACCGGAGGAGAUGCAUGAAAUUCCAAAUUCAGAUGGUAUGACACCACAUGAACUAUUUACUAAGAAUCAUGAGAAACUAAAAGAGGAGGCAGAAGUCUCAAUGAAAGGGAUAGCAACUUCUUGUACAGUUGUAGGCGCUCUCAUUGUUACCAUUAUGUUUGCUGCAGCAUUUACAGUUCCUGGUGGAAACAAUGGUAAUACAGGUUACCCGAUGUUUCAAGCUAAGAAGUUGUUUCUGGUGUUCAUAAUUUCAGAUACUCUAUCACUAGUUUCUUCCACAACUUCAGUCAUAUUAUUUUUGGG